AGAUACUUGAAAGACUUGCGUCAAAGCUAGCUUGCUUUGGGAAAAGUCCCCGGACCUGUGGCAGAGAGUGUCUAGUCUUGGCAUACUGUAGCUUGACUUCUAUUCCAACUUAUAUAGCGAAGAUGCUCUUUGAGCAGAGCUAUUGGGAAUGUCAGGUGUUUGUCAAAGCACAGAAAUGCAAGUAGUGUGCAUGUCACACCAACACAAUGGGGCUUACUCAUAAAGUAUC
rnacentral:RNase_MRP_RNA from 1 species